rnacentral:rRNA from 1 species
AGAGUUUGAUCAUGGCUCAGGACGAACGCUGGCGGCGUGCCUAACACAUGCAAGUCGAGCGAGUGAAUCUCCUUCGGGAGUGAGGCUAGCGGCGGACGGGUGAGUAACACGUGGGCAACCUGCCUCAUAGAGGGGAAUAGCCUUUCGAAAGGAAGAUUAAUACCGCAUAAGAUUGUAGCUUCGCAUGAAGUAGCAAUUAAAGGAGCAAUCCGCUAUGAGAUGGGCCCGCGUCCGAUUAGCUAGUUGGUGAGGUAAUGGCCCACCAAGGCGACGAUCGGUAGCCGGACUGAGAGGUUGAACGGCCACAUUGGGACUGAGACACGGCCCAGACUCCUACGGGAGGCAGCAGUGGGGAAUAUUGCACAAUGGGGGAAACCCUGAUGCAGCGACGCCGCGUGGAGGAAGAAGGUCUUCGGAUUGUAAACUCCUGUUGUUGAGGAAGAUAAUGACGGUACUCAACAAGGAAGUGACGGCUAACUACGUGCCAGCAGCCGCGGUAAAACGUAGGUCACAAGCGUUGUCCGGAAUUACUGGGUGUAAAGGGAGCGCAGGCGGGAAGACAAGUUGGAAGUGAAAUCCAUGGGCUCAACCCAUGAACUGCUUUCAAAACUGUUUUUCUUGAGUAGUGCAGAGGUAGGCGGAAUUCCCGGUGUAGCGGUGGAAUGCGUAGAUAUCGGGAGGAACACCAGUGGCGAAGGCGGCCUACUGGGCACCAACUGACGCUGAGGCUCGAAAGUGUGGGUAGCAAACAGGAUUAGAUACCCUGGUAGUCCACACUGUAAACGAUGAUUACUAGGUGUUGGAGGAUUGACCCCUUCAGCGCCGCAGUUAACACAAUAAGUAAUCCACCUGGGGAGUACGACCGCAAGGUUGAAACUCAAAGGAAUUGACGGGGGCCCGCACAAGCAGUGGAGUAUGUGGUUUAAUUCGACGCAACGCGAAGAACCUUACCAAGUCUUGACAUCCUGCGACGCACAUAGAAAUAUGUGUUUCCUUCGGGACGCAGAGACAGGUGGUGCAUGGUUGUCGUCAGCUCGUGUCGUGAGAUGUUGGGUUAAGUCCCGCAACGAGCGCAACCCUUAUGGUCAGUUACUACGCAAGAGGACUCUGGCCAGACUGCCGUUGACAAAACGGAGGAAGGUGGGGAUGACGUCAAAUCAUCAUGCCCUUUAUGACUUGGGCUACACACGUACUACAAUGGCGUUAAACAAAGAGAAGCAAGACCGCGAGGUGGAGCAAAACUCAGAAACAACGUCCCAGUUCGGACUGCAGGCUGCAACUCGCCUGCACGAAGUCGGAAUUGCUAGUAAUCGCAGAUCAGCAUGCUGCGGUGAAUACGUUCCCGGGCCUUGUACACACCGCCCGUCACACCAUGAGAGCCGGGGGGACCCGAAGUCGGUAGUCUAACCGCAAGGAGGACGCCGCCGAAGGUAAAACUGGUGAUUGGGGUGAAGUCGUAACAAGGUA